GCAAAACGCGAAGAACCUUACCUACUCUUGACAUCCAGAGAACUUAGCAGAGAUGCUUUGGUGCCUUCGGGAACUCUGAGACAGGUGCUGCAUGGCUGUCGUCAGCUCGUGUUGUGAAAUGUUGGGUUAAGUCCCGCAACGAGCGCAACCCUUAUCCUUUGUUGCCAGCGGUUAGGCCGGGAACUCAAAGGAGACUGCCAGUGAUAAACUGGAGGAAGGUGGGGAUGACGUCAAGUCAUCAUGGCCCUUACGAGUAGGGCUACACACGUGCUACAAUGGCGCAUACAAAGAGAAGCGACCUCGCGAGAGCAAGCGGACCUCAUAAAGUGCGUCGUAGUCCGGAUUGGAGUCUGCAACUCGACUCCAUGAAGUCGGAAUCGCUAGUAAUCGUGGAUCAGAAUGCCACGGUGAAUACGUUCCCGGGUCUUGUACACACCG
rnacentral:rRNA from 1 species